rnacentral:tRNA from 1 species
GCAGACAUGGCCGAGUGGUCUAAGGCGAUGGUUUUAAGCACCAUUAUCGAGAGAUGCGUGGGUUCGAACCCCACUGUCUGCA